rnacentral:rRNA from 1 species
UGGCGGCGUGCUUAACACAUGCAAGUCGAGCGAGAGCCAGCUGAGGGGUAACCCUCGGCUGGGGACAGCGGCGAACGGGUGCGUAACACGUGGGCAACCUGCCCCUGACACUGGGAUAACCCCGGGAAACCGGAGCUAAUACCGGAUACUCUCGGCCGAUCACAUGGCUGGCCGAGGAAAGGUCCGCCGGUCAGGGAUGGGCCCGCGGCCUAUCAGCUUGUUGGUGAGGUAACGGCCCACCAAGGCGAUGACGGGUAGCUGGUCUGAGAGGACGACCAGCCACACUGGAACUGAGAUACGGUCCAGACUCCUACGGGAGGCAGCAGUGGGGAAUAUUGCACAAUGGGCGAAAGCCUGAUGCAGCGACGCCGCGUGAGGGAUGAAGGCCUUCGGGUCGUAAACCUCUUUCGGCAGGGACGAAGCGAUCAGUGACGGUACCUGCAGAAGAAGCCCCGGCUAACUACGUGCCAGCAGCCGCGGUAAGACGUAGGGGGCGAGCGUUGUCCGGAUUCAUUGGGCGUAAAGCGCGCGUAGGCGGCUGCGCAAGUCGGUUGUGAAACCCCGGGGCUCAACCCCGGAACUGCAUCCGAUACUGCGUGGCUAGAGGUAGGUAGGGGAGAUCGGAAUUCCUGGUGUAGCGGUGAAAUGCGCAGAUAUCAGGAGGAACACCGGUGGCGAAGGCGGAUCUCUGGGCCUUACCUGACGCUCAGGCGCGAAAGCUAGGGGA